UAGGACAGAAUUGUAGCAAGAUUAUCAGUGACAAGUCAAAUUCUAUGGCUAUGUUUUUGCGAAUCCGGUCAGAUAUGUAAUAUUAUAUAGCUACAAUGAGGAGCAACAAACGCGCCUGAUCUAAGCCAAACAAUGACAUAUACAACAUGCAAAACAGUCACCAGACUUGCGCAUAAACAACUACAUUUGAAUCAUGUGGUGCCAGAACAACUAAAAGGAUGAAAAACCUAUACAUCAAGCUUAAGAAACAUAAGCUCGAUGAGAUAGCUGCAAGAAACAUAAGGGUGUCUCUAGAGAAAAACGUAUAGCUUUCUUGAGGUAAAGCUACAGUGUCUCCGAAGAAAAACGUACAAGGACAAAUAUGAUAACCAUGAUAAGAAUCUACCUACUGUAUUUGCAAACAGUUCUAAUCUCAGCUGGGUGGGCAUCACAAUAUAUAAUGCAAGUUAGCAAAAUGUUCAGUCAGAAAGUUUCGUAUUUUGUCCCUUGAAAGUAAAUACAUGUACUCAGAGACUUAAAACAAAGCUUGCAAUAUAAAUGAGCCUAAACAAUGCAUAAGCACAUGGCAAACUCUAAAGGCAAAGAAUACACAUUUGCGUACAGUGGGAGUUGUGCAGGUCUGUCACAACUUUUUAAUUUCUGUGAUUGAUAUCAGACAGUGCUCCCUCCUGGGCUGAACUUGUAAUCUAACUAGCAGCAUGUAGAAGAUCUACAUAAGUACUGCACCAUAGUGUAAUGGCUCAAUGCUACUUAAAAUUUAUCUGUAUAAUACAGCAGUAAGUGCCCUUCAUAAACAGGAGUGAAGCACAGAAAGGUCACGAGACCGAACAGAGAACGGCAAACAUACAGAUGUCACAAAACGUAGGAGUCGUGUAGGCCUGUCAACCCCAUUUUACCAGCACUCAACUAACGUCAAGGAACAUAAAGCAAAAAAAUAUGCACGCAGAACAUGUGCGUUUAUAUCAAAAUAGCUUCAUAUGUAUGUAUUUACUCUCAGCUGAAAUUAAUAAAUUACCAGGUUUGAAUGCUUUUAAAAUCUUUCCUACUUCUUACCAGAUAAAAAACAUACAAGUAACAGUUUAUUUGCUGAGACUUACAUGGAAAUAAAUCCCAUUUAAGCUUGUGAUGUCAGGGCUGAACAGGACCACAGAAGAGGCUUGAGUUCAAGGUCAACUUUCUCUCUACCAAUGGUGGUGCAGCUGUCAUAAAGGUGCAAAACAGAGAAGCAAAAAAGAGCUAUGUGCUGGGACCCAAGAGGAGAAAGAGACCUUGGAUCCCCUAGUAGAUACAAAACAGAGAAGAAACAAUAAAAGCUGAGCUGAGACUCCAGAGGAAAGGAUGGAUCUCUUAUUAGGCUGCCAUCUCAAAUGGACAUGAUUUGACAUCAACAUGGAGAAAGAAGCAAUGGAAAGCAACGAAUCGAAGAGUCAAAGAGCCUCGUUUAAAUAUUUCUUCAGUGGAUCACGUUUUAAAAGUAAGGUAGAUUUACGAGACAAAGUUUAUCUCGAUCGAGUUACUUGCGAAAGAUUGUUAGGGCGGAGCUGGAAUUAGUGAUUUCACAACGGAACCCAAGAGUCGAAAGAAGACAUUGGAAUUACUGUGAAAUUGUCUCGUAUCUUGCCAGUUUCCGAGGAAGCCGUGAAUUAUAUUUCAAGUUUGUAGCGUUAAACCGAAGGUAGAAUAAUAACAUUACCUGGUUUUGUUUUUCAACCAGAAUUUUCAUCCUGGAAGUCUCGUUAUUAAACUCGUUGAAAUCACCGUC
rnacentral:lncRNA from 1 species